GGGAGAAAGAACUCCAGUGGCUGCCAAGAGCCCCUGCCAGAUGCUCCUCCCCACCACCCUGGCAUCUUGUGCAUAGUAGAUCUCGGGAAAUGCCUCCAUCAUGACUGCUAUUGGAAAGGAAGGCCAAUCUCCUGUUUGUUGCCCAGAGUGCUGGCUGUGAGUCACCUGGAGUUUCCUAGAGGUGGGAUUUCGCCAGGUUGCCCAUGCUGGUCUUGAACUCCUGGACUCAAGUGAUCCACCUGCCCUGGCCUCCCAAAGUGCUGGGAUUACAGGCUAUAUAUUGCUAAAGAAAGAAAAAGCACCAAUGGCUGAAGCUAGAGAGACCUUGCUGAGGAAAAGGGAACCAAAAAUGGGAAAUAGCGGCCUGGUAAAGAGGUGUGGCCAGAGGACAGCAUGGAGCACAGCCAGGAGAAACUGUUCUGGGUGAAGAGCCAGAUCUGCUCUGGAAUGCAGCAAAGAGCUCCUUCCUGCUUUCUCAGCCCCUGCAGCAGCUCCUGCUUCACUCCAAGAAAAUGCCAGCCCCCUAAGAACCUGUCCCUUUGGAACAGUGGAUCCAAAAGCUGACCCAAGAGACCUUGAACUUAACACCUCUGUGUCAUGGGCUCCUUAAUGAUAGAAAGAAGAUUGCUUUAGAAGACUGGUUUGCAAACCAGUCUGCUGGGCACUAGAAGCCUUGGGAAGAUUUGAAAAAUAAAUCUUAUUGGCCUCACCAUUUCACA
ensembl:lncRNA SMASR SMAD3 associated long non-coding RNA